rnacentral:ncRNA from 1 species
UAGUUAAAUUUGGCUAGUUUUAAAAAUUAACUCUAAAUUCUUUAUAAAAAAUAUUAAUAGCAUCUCAUGUUAGAAGAUUGAAUUUAUUUAAUAAUAAAUAUUAUUGAUAUUUAGAGAAAUCUCUAGUUAAUUUUGUGCCAGCAACAGCGGUUAUACAAAAAGAGAUCUUUUUAAGUUAAAAACUUAUUUUUUAUUUAAAUUCAAAUUAAUUGAAAAGUUAAGGUGAAAUUUAAUUUUUUUCAAAAAAGGUAAAUAAAGUGUAAAUUCAUUAAAUAAACUAGGAUUAGAUACCCUAUUAUUGGGAGUUAUAUAUUGCAAGUAUAUAAAUAAUAUGAAAACAAAAAAUUGUGGCGGUAUUUUAAGCUUUUCAGAGGAAUUUGCUCUUUAAUGGAUAAAACACCAACAUCUUACUAAAAUUGGUUAAGCAGUUUGUAUACCACUAUUUAAGUAAUAAUUUGUAAUUAUUACUAAAAUUUAAAAAAAUAAAAAAAGUUAAGUCAAGGUGCAACAAAAAUUUUAGAAUGAAGUGAAUUACAUUUCUUUUGAGAGAUUUAAAAUGAAAUAUAAAGUUUAGGAUUUGAAAGUAAAAUUUUAAUAAAAUGAAAAUUUGAAUUAAGCUCUAAAAUAUGUACAUAUCGCCCGUCGCUCUUUUAUGAAGAUAAGUCGUAACAAAGUUAAAGUACUGGAAAGUGCUU